rnacentral:lncRNA from 10 species
AGUCUUCUCUGCAGACACCAGCCUGGUGUCCUCCUUCAUCCCAGGCUGCCAGGCUAGGCAGGGGACAGCGGCUGCCCUGGUCCUCACAGCCCUGGCUACGGGGCUGGUGACAGCCAGAUCCUCAUGCUUCUGCGACCUGAGCGCUGCCUUCAGACACCUCUCUGCUGGCGUGUUCCUGGGUCCAUGAUGGAAGAAGGAAAAGUAUUUUUAAAAGACAAUCUGAAGCUCAUACUGUGACUGCAACAUAAAAUGUGUUCACCUGAGGAGACUGCUUUCAUCGCCAGUGUGUCACAGGUCUCUGAUGGUUCUGGUUUCCUGGGCACCUAGAAUAAGUGUGUCACCAUUUGUCCUGAAGCUGACUUCUCUGAGCUGGAUGGCACCCUGGACAUCAACCAGCCCUUCACCUUCACGUCACACAGGAGGGACACUGGUCCAUAGAGAGGAUGCCUGCUCUGGUCACCAGCUGGAGAGUGGCAGACCUUGGGUACCUGACCUUUGGACUCUGCCACACAGAGCACUUCCUCAGUCCCUCCUGCUGCCCCUGGCAGGGUGGAGCUGGCAGGGCAGCUGAUCCAGGACCGUCCACUUCCAAGCCAGCAGGAGGAUGGAAAAGCAGAAUGGAGGGGAAACAACCUCCUUUGCAGGGCGUGACUCGGAAGUUGGACACAUCAUUUCCAGCCACAUUCCAUGGACCAGAAUUAGCCCUGUGACCAACUCUGGCUGCCAGAAAAUCUGGGAAAUACAGUCUCUGCUUGGGCGAUCAGGCAGGCAGUUAUAUCUUUGGGAACAUCUCUCACCCCCUGGGAACACCUGAGCAGAAACUGAAGGACAUUUAACAGAUUCUCCUUUGUGUCUAAUAAGAAUUGCCCCCAUCAGUCGGGGCUGUCCUAGGUGCUGGGUACAUAGGUCAUCUAUACACAACCCAGCAAUGGAGAGCACACCAUUCCCAGGCUGCAGAUGCAGAAACUGUGGCUCGGAGAGUUAAGCGUCUUGUUCAGAUUCAGUCAGCUGGUAGAUGGCAGGUCUGGGAUUGAGACCCAGGCCUGGCUGGUCCUGCCAGGACACAGUAUCACAGCUUUGACUGGGAGCUUCUUUUUGUU